CAGCAGCCGCGGGAACACGAAGGGUGCAAGCGUUACUCGGAAUUACUGGGCGUAAAGCGUGUGUAGGUGGUGGUUUAAGUCCGUUGUGAAAGCCCUGGGCUCAACCUGGGAAUUGCAGUGGAUACUGGGUCACUAGAGUGUGGUAGAGGAUAGUGGAAUUUCCGGUGUAGCAGUGAAAUGCGUAGAGAUCGGAAGGAACAUCUGUGGCGAAGGCGACUAUCUGGGCCAACACUGACACUGAGGCACGAAAGCGCGGGGAGCAAACAGGAUUAGAUACCCCCGUAGUCCCUGUCUCUUAUAC
rnacentral:rRNA from 1 species